AUGGCAACAGAACCUACAGCAACAAUGACCUUCAUCACCAUCUUCAUCUGGGCACUCAUCAUCUCUGCUCAGGAAUCUAGUGGACAGGUUACUGUGACUCAGACUCCAGCAGUGAAAUCUGUUCUCUCUGGACAGACAGUCACUGUGAGCUGUAAGACUAGUCCUGCAGUGUUUGGUAAUGAAUACCUAGCCUGGUACCAACAGAAAGCUGGUGAAGCUCCUAAACUCCUGAUCUAUGCAGCAACUAACCGUGAUACUGGGAUCCCAGAGCGUUUCAGUGGCAGUGGAUCUGGGACUGACUUCACUCUGACUAUCAAAGGAGUCCAGGCUGAAGAUGCAGCAGAUUAUUACUGUCAGAGUUUCCACUACCCUGGCAGUACUCGUGUGUUCACACAGUGUUACACAGCCAUACAAAAACCUCCCUCAGCAGGACUGCACAGUGACUGCACUGCUGCAGCUGGGACCUACUGCAGGUGCACUUACAGAUCAAGUUUAUUAUACUACUAUAAGAGAUCAUUCAACAUAGUCACAGUAUUCAAAGAAAUAUAAUUAUAUUAUUUCUCA